GGGGAUGUGGCUCAAGUGGUAGCGCGCUCACCUGGCAUGUGAGCAUCCCGGGUUCGAUCCUCAGCAUCACUU
rnacentral:tRNA from 1 species